rfam:Bacteroides sp. CAG:702 genomic scaffold, scf161
GCGGAAAUAGCUCAGUUGGUAGAGCACAACCUUGCCAAGGUUGGGGUCGCGAGUUCGAGUCUCGUUUUCCGCU